GCAUAUCAAUAAGCGGAGGAAAAGAAACCAACAGGGAUUGCCUCAGUAACGGCGAGUGAAGCGGCAAGAGCUCAAAUUUGAAAGCUGGCUCCUUCGGGGUCCGCAUUGUAAUUUGCAGAGGAUGCUUCGGGAGCGGCCCCCAUCUAAGUGCCCUGGAACGGGCCGUCAUAGAGGGUGAGAAUCCCGUCUGGGAUGGGGUGCCCGCGCCCGUGUGAAGCUCCUUCGACGAGUCGAGUUGUUUGGGAAUGCAGCUCUAAAUGGGUGGUAAAUUUCAUCUAAAGCUAAAUACUGGCCGGAGACCGAUAGCGCACAAGUAGAGUGAUCGAAAGAUGAAAAGCACUUUGAAAAGAGAGUUAAACAGCACGUGAAAUUGUUGAAAGGGAAGCGCUUGCGACCAGACUCGCUCGCGGGGUUCAGCCGGCCUUCGGGCCGGUGUACUUCCCCGCGGGCGGGCCAGCGUCGGUUUGGGCGGCCGGUCAAAGGCCCUCGGAAUGUAACGCCCCCCGGGGCGUCUUAUAGCCGAGGGUGCCAUGCGGCCAGCCCGGACCGAGGAACGCGCUUCGGCUCGGACGCUGGCAUAAUGGUCGUAAGCGACCCGUCUUGAAACACGGACCAAGGAGUCUAACAUCUACGCGAGUGUUCGGGUGUCAAACCCGUGCGCGCAGUGAAAGCGAACGGAGGUGGGAACCCCUCGGGGUGCACCAUCGACCGAUCCUGAUGUCUUCGGAUGGAUUUGAGUAAGAGCGUAGCUGUUGGGACCCGAAAGAUGGUGAACUAUGCCUGAAUAGGGCGAAGCCAGAGGAAACUCUGGUGGAGGCUCGCAGCGGUUCUGACGUGCAAAUCGAUCGUCAAAUUUGGGUAUAGGGGCGAAAGACUAAUCGAACCAUCUAGUAGCUGGUUCCUGCG
rnacentral:rRNA from 1 species